CGUCAUCCCUGGAAAGUAGCAAUUUCAUGAGUUUCUUCCUUGUGAUUACCUGAUCUAGCAAAGAUUAAGAAGAAAUGGCCUACAAGUCAGCAUGCUCAGGUAUGCCUGGUGAGACUCGCCCUUCAAUGCUGACUUGUUGAUCGGUGUAGAGAACAGAUAGAAGAACAAGGGAAAGGCAAAGAAGGAGAAAAAUACAGGAUUCAAAGACUGCUCUGCACACUGAAAAGUCAUAGAAAUGAAACUGCCAAUGUAACACAAAGCAAGCAAAGUACGUAAUUUGUUGAAAAGAAUCAUGCUGAAUCACCAGAAGAAAACUAUCUUAAGCAUAAUCAACUGAACAUU